AUAACAUCUGAAGGGGAGUGGGGAAAAAAAAAUACAAAAAAAAAACACACACACAUAUAUUGUGUGCAGGGCCAUUCCCAUAUCAUUCUCCUCCUCCUCUCCUCUCUCCUUCCCCUACCCAUAUUUACCAGACCAACUUUUCCCCACCGUUGGCUCAAUAAUCUGCUCAGUAAACAUGUCCAAUAUUUUUUGUGAGACAGAUCUAAAGAUAUUGGCAAGAAUGACGUUGCUGGUGACGAAAUUUCGAGGAUAACAACAUUCCUGGAUUCCAAUGGUUUCUCAUGGUAAGUUCUCUCUUUCAAUGUAUUGAUUCCUCAAAACGUGGUACUGAGGUCGAGUAUUGUGAUUCUUCAAUCAAAAUUCCAUUUUAUUAAAUAAUAUUCUUAGCCCAAAAAUUAAGAGUAGCAGUUGUUAUAUUUAUUAACAUUUAGUCCAUGUUUUGGCCCCCAUUUUAUAAUAUUCAUUUUUCAACCUCAAAUUACUGGACUCACAAUUUUUAUAAUAAACACACAUUUCUUCAAUUUUAAUUAAAAUCUAUUAAAAUUUUGAUUUUUUAUCUAAGCUAAACAGAGGCUUGCUUGCUUGUAUAUGCAAUCAACAUUUGAAAUUUAGAUUCAUGCUACAUAAAUUAUUCAAGCUUGUUGAACUUCGAUAAAUCUUUCUAAAGGUUGAUUAUUGUUUCUUAUUUUAAAGAUGGUGAAGUCGAUAUUAACAUAGAAUAGGCUCAUGAUUAUGGUAGUUAAUCUGAUUUUUAGUCCUCCAAAAAAAAAAAAAAAAAGGAACUGGGUAUGUAGUAUCUUUUUAAAAGAGUUCUACUGCAUGUACAGAACAUUUUUCUCCAAAUACUUUACAGAAUACAUAUAGCAGAAGGUGGGUGGGUUAUUUUUUGGAUUAUUUUACUCACAUCGGACCCACUUCCCACGUGAGCAUCUGGAAAACUUCUACACAGAAUUUCCCUUUUUAAAAUGUGCAGUGGUUGAUUUGUAUGAAGGAUCUAUGUUCUAUACCAUUUGACAAAUGCUAAGAAACUGGCAGGUUCUGCUUGCUAUGGAUGCUACAAAAGUUCGAACAUUAUGAUUAUUUCUGAUCAGGGAUGGACCCGACUCAUGCCUAGUGCAGGCAGAAUCAGGGGCGGACCCAACUCAUGUCCUGCACUGGACUUUGGGUCAGCCCCAUUGGAUAUAUAUUUUGGAGCACUAGAAAUGUCUGUGGCCUCUAAUUCAUUUGUCCAAGGUGAAGUACGUUGGAAAUAUCAGAUUGAGAAGAUGGGCCAAAUUAUAAGUUAUUUCAUUUUUAAUAUAAUGUUUGUGCUAUAAUGUUGUUAUUUUUCACUUUUAUUAAUAUCGUCUGCGCUGAAAAAAAAGAAUUCUAGAUCCGCCCCUAUGUCUAAUGAAUGAAAUCGAAAUCGAACAUUAUGAAUUUGGUUAAAUCUUGUUUUGAAUUGGG
rnacentral:lncRNA from 1 species